rnacentral:lncRNA from 1 species
GACUCGCAGCUGGAGCACUGAAUAGAUUAAGCAAGUUGUAAGGAUACAUGCCGAGAGUUGUGCAGGUUGGUUCAGGUCAUGCAGACCUGCGCUGCAGCGGCACCCGCGAGCCUGACGGAGCGCUUGCUGAAAGGCAGCACACAGACGCGACCGAACGCAUAGGCUGAAGCUUUAACCUACCUCGGAAAUGUUUGCUCGCUUCUAAAACGCCCUCCUGAUCCUGAACAGCCUCUCGGCUCUCCGCAGAAGCAGGGACCGCAGCUCGCAGGAGCGCAGCAUCUCUCCUGAGCGAGCCAACGGCGGGAGCAGCAGCAAGCACAAAGGUGAUGGGUUUCCUCGCAGGCACGCGCAUGUACGCACAGCGCACCGCCUCUCUGCACUACCUGUCUCGUCUUGUCUUACCCGUUUCUGGUGCCCCAGAAGAGCUGACCGGGGAGCAAAAACCAAAUGCAUAGGGUAACAGACACAGAUAUGGGCAAAGCUUAGCUUCAUGCUGCUUGGGCUUGACACUGACCCAGAAGAACCAAGAAAGCAGAAGACAGGACUGAAACUGCUCAUUCUUUGGUGCCAGAUCACAGCAGGAUACAAGAUACCUGAGGACUAUCUUUUGUUUGCAGACUGCUGCAAGACAGAGGCACAAUCAUCUAUUGGACUUUUUGCAACAGUGCUCCAAACUGAGUCCUGGGAAGGUGUGCUGCUCAUUCUUGUGAGCACUGUGACCCUCAGAAAUGACUCCUUAGCACUGCUAUUCCCCUUCAACCUCUGCAAGAAGGGAUUCAUAGACAACAGACACAGAGCUUUUUCAUUAGUCCUCGUCCCUGUUGAUCUUGUUCAGCCACCUGAGCCUUCAAGCACCAAAUCCCUUCUGCUCCUCAGCCUGCGCUGGGACGGCCACCUCGCUGGUAGGGAGCGCUCCGGAAAAUGCAGCCCUGCUUCUCCUGUACCCGGGACUUGGCUUUGCACCGUGCCAUGCAGCAGGAAGGCUUCCAGGCUUAUCGGCAGGGUUGCCAAGGGCUGGACAUGUUGUAAAGCAAGUAUCUCGAAGGAGAAAGAAGUGUCCCAUGCCAAACAGCUGUAG